rnacentral:lncRNA from 1 species
GGAUAAUUUUUCUCAUUGUCCGUUUUCCCUUAUAAUACCACUUUUUACCUUGCAUAAAGUUAGUAAGUAUCCAAGUCUGUUCUUUUCUUGAUUUAGUCUGAGCCUUUGAGUUUUUAUGAUUUUCCACCUUGACCACCUCUCCAGGAUUUCCCUCCCCAAAACCCCUGGCCCAUGCUUUCACUCAGGGUCAGAGGUUUUGGCUAUGGAUGAGAUCUUUCAGGUUCCUUUUCUUCUUCUGGUCUAAUUCUACAGCUGGGAGACAGCAGUGGCACUGAGUAGAGACUGUUCGUUAAGUAAGGAGCUAAGAGUGGGACACGUCCAGUAUUCAAUUUGUAUAGUAAUAAUACAUCAAGGAGAGAAUCACUCACACGUGGGAGGAAGACCUCCCAGAGGGCAGGGCUUCUCAGGUAUUUAUGAUUUCAGGACUUAGAAACAUGAAACACCGUGAGCAAAGUCAGGGGUGUCUAAUAUCACGGACCAGGACUUUCUGCUUCCUCUUAAGUCUUCUCAGAGAUCCAGAACCUGUCUCCUUAACUUUUCUUCUGACCCACACCCAAUUCAAGGCUCUUCUUCUGUGAAACACCUGAGCCAUCUUUAAGUCUCUUUUAAGGGGUUGGAUCAUGCCAGAGGAAGUGUCUCUCUGGCCACGCUACGUGGUCAGACCCAGCAGCUGAGGAGCAACAAGGACAAGCUCUUGGCUUCUUCUGGUGGAAGACACCACAGGUCAACAGAACAUGUUGGCAUAAAGAAGAGCUGCAGAGUCGAACUCCAGUAAAUAAAGCAAUCUAACCUAAACAUCCUAAAGCACUGGAAAGAUCCUAAACUGGUGGUGUCUGGACAGCUUCAGGAAAGCAAGACAAGAACUGAUUCGGAAAUAGCCAGUGCAUCCAGGCUGUAUGUUUUAAUUCGAUUUUCAGAGAUGAGAUAUGUUUGGACUUAAGGUUUAUUUAAUAAAUGUCCUAUCGUAAUGUUUCUUCUAGAAGCCUCCUUCCUGUGGUUUC